UACGUAGGGGGCAAGCGUUGUCCGGAUUUAUUGGGCGUAAAGAGCGUGUAGGCGGCCUGACAGGUCUGCUGUGAAAUCUCGAGGCUCAACCUCGAGAUGUCGGCGGAAACCGUCUGGCUAGAGUCCGGAAGAGGAGAGUGGAAUUCCUGGUGUAGCGGUGAAAUGCGCAGAUAUCAGGAAGAACACCUAUGGCGAAGGCAGCUCUCUGGGACGGUACUGACGCUGAGGCGCGAAAGCGUGGGGAGCGAACAGG
rnacentral:rRNA from 1 species